GAGAGCUUGGUGUAGAGGUUAUCACGGCUGGGUAUCGCAGUCCUGUCACAGCAGCGCCUGGUUCGAUUCCAGGAGCUCUAA